rnacentral:misc_RNA from 1 species
GCUAUUUGUGGAUUAGAAUUAUCCUUUAGAGACAAAUCCCACCACUCAUCCCAUGGGAUGACUGCUAUAAUCUCUUCACCCUUUUCAUUCUCAUGUCCUGAUUCACCAACCCAAAGAUUCCCCAUUUCAUCCUUCAAGCAAACUGCUGUAUGACCAGCAAAUGCACCAGUCACCCAUUUCUCCAAUGUCUCAAAUCCACCCCAACGACCACGAAUCUUUGACACAGCCAGAAAAUCACCAGAAUGAACAUCAUCAGGAUUAAUGAUUUCACGCCAGGGCUGAGGACGUUUCUCAAAUGUGGCACCCAUGUGCUUCUUCAGAAAAGCUAAGUUAGCAUUCUGACCCCAUGCAGUGUUAGAGAACAGAGGCAAGACAUCCAUUAAAGAAUGCAAGGUCCCAAGCAUUCCUGAUGGCAUGAGAAAUACAGAAACCCCAUGUUGCUUCACGUAUUCCAGCUCUGCGGCCUCUUCCCAUGACUUAAACUUCAGAGUAUGCUCUCGUGCAGAAAAGUAGUAAUCCCACGUAACACGAUAAGGUGUUGCAAAAACAUACAAAUCCAUACAGGUCCAGCUGUGCGCUGCAGA